CAGCAGCCGCGGUAAUCCGAAGGGGGCUAGCGUUGCUCGGAAUGACUGGGCGUAAAGGGCGCGUAGGCGGUUUGCACAGUCAGGUGUGAAAUUCCUGGGCUUAACCUGGGGGCUGCAUUCGAGACGUGUAGGCUUGAGUGGGGAAGAGGGUCGUGGAAUUCCCAGUGUAGAGGUGAAAUUCGUAGAUAUUGGGAAGAACACCGGUGGCGAAGGCGGCGACCUGGUCCUUUACUGACGCUGAGGCGCGAAGGCGUGGGAGCAAACAGGAUUAGAUACCCGCGUAGUCCCUGUCUCUUAUACA
rnacentral:rRNA from 1 species